rfam:Zostera marina strain Finnish scaffold_10, whole genome shotgun sequence.
UACACAAUGCGGUGUUGGUCCGGUUCAAUCAGAUAACAUGGGUAUAUAGAUGGAACCGGUGCGAUUUGAUUGAGCCGUGCCAAUAUCACAUAAUUCAUU